rnacentral:tRNA from 1 species
GGGUAUAUAGCUCAGUGGUAUAGUGUAUACCUAGCAUACACAUAGGUCCUGGGUUCAAUCCCCAGUACCUCCA